GGGCGCUUGGUCUAGGGGUAUGAUAUUCGCUUUGCAUCUACGAGUUUACAGAAGUAAAAUUCUUGAGAUUGUAUGCGAAGGGUCGUGGGUUCAAUUCCCACAGCGUCCA
rnacentral:tRNA from 1 species